rnacentral:rRNA from 1 species
GAUGAACGCUGGCGGCGUGCUUAACACAUGCAAGUCGAACGGAAAGGCCCAAGCUUGCUUGGGUCCUCGAGUGGCGAACGGGUGAGUAACACGUGGGUGAUCUGCCCUGCACUUCGGGAUAAGCCUGGGAAACUGGGUCUAAUACUGGAUAGGACCACUUCUUGGAUGGUGUGGUGGAAAGUUUUUUCGGUGUGGGAUGAGCUCGCGGCCUAUCAGCUUGUUGGUGGGGUAAUGGCCUACCAAGGCGUCGACGGGUAGCCGGCCUGAGAGGGUGUACGGCCACAUUGGGACUGAGAUACGGCCCAGACUCCUACGGGAGGCAGCAGUGGGGAAUAUUGCACAAUGGGCGCAAGCCUGAUGCAGCGACGCCGCGUGGGGGAUGACGGCCUUCGGGUUGUAAACUCCUUUCGCUAGGGACGAAGCGUUUUUGUGACGGUACCUGGAGAAGAAGCACCGGCUAACUACGUG